rnacentral:rRNA from 1 species
ACACUCUUCAAGGUGCUGCAUGGUUGUCGUCAGCUCGUGCCGUGAGGUGUCGGGUUAAGUCCCACUAACGAGCGCAACCCUUACCGUUAGUUACCAUCAGGUUAAGCUGGGGACUCUAGCGGGACUGCCACCGUAAGGUGAGAGGAAGGUGGGGAUGACGUCAAAUCAGCACGGCCCUUAUGUCCAGGGCUACACACGUGUUACAAUGGCCGGUACAAAGGGCAGCUACUUCGCGAGAAGAUGCUAAUCUCGAAAGCCGGUCUCAGUUCGGAUCGAAGUCUGCAACCCGACUUCGUGAAGCUGGAUUCGCUAGUAAUCGCGCAUCAGCCAUGGCGCGGUGAAUACGUUCCCGGGCCUU